ACAUCUUUCCUUUAAACUCACUUUCUAGAUUCCAUUUUCUAGGAAAGUGUGGGAGUGUUGUGUGUGUUUCUGUCUGUACUGAUUGUUACUGUGUGUGUUAACUUUAUAUAUUAACUGUCUUUUUUUUUUCCAACUGUUCAUCCCAGACACCAUCCUGAAAAUCAUUCUGGACUGCACUAUGUUGGAGGGAACGGGUGUUUUUUGGAGUGAGAUCGAAGGAGAUGAAACAAACUCAUUUACAUGCGUACUUUCGGGGUUCUUACGGAUGUUUUCAGAUCCAAGUUGGUGUACCGCCUCUUCCCCUGUUACUGUAGAUGUGCAACUGAUGUCAUCUAGGGGCCACUGACCCUUCAGGCAGUACAUACCGUCUUGAGGAGAUCCUGUCCCAGCUUGUGCGAAGUAAAAUAUGGGAAUCAAGACCUGGGCUGCCUGUUACUGUGCUUCAUCAUAUACAUGGAACUUGCAAGUGUAUACGGGGAAACCAGACGGAGGAGCCCCUGAGAAGAACCAAGGGAUGUGGGUUAUCCUGGAUGUGACACAGGGACCCCGUGGCCCACAACAUCACAUGCAAUAACUUUUUUUUUACUUCGCACAAGCUGGGACAGGAGCUCCUCAAGAGGAAGCUGACGAUGGUAUGAACAGUAGGGAAAAAACAAGCCAGAGAUCCCACCUCAGCUGUUGAAUACACAGAACAGGCCUAUUAAUUCCUUUAAGUUUGUGUUCACGGCCGACACGUCCCUAGUGUCCUACGUGCCAAAGAAAGGCAAAAAUGUGGUACUAAUGAGUACGCUGCAUAGGGAUGGGAGAAUCUGUGGCCAGGAACAUCAAAAACCAUUACUAUGCCACAAAAGGAGGGAUGGACAAUUUAGACAAGCUGGUGACUGGCUACAUCUGCAAAAGAAGAAGCCUACGCUGGCCACUUGUGAUAUUCUCCAACAUCUUGGACAUCUCGGCGUACAACGCGUUUGUCAUCUGGCAGGCGUUGAACCCUGAUUGGAACAGAGGGAAGCUCCAGAGGAGACAGCUCUUUCUCGAGGAGCUGGGCAGGGCAUUGGUAAAACCUCAAAUCCAGAGGAGGCACCAUAUCCCAAGGACCCCAGCUUCUGUAGCCAUCGUGAGUAGGAUUCAGGUGGAGGAUGCCCCAUCCGCCCCGACCCACAGAACCAACAACUCCAAUACAGGAAACUGCAGCCGGUAGCAACAAGAAGAAGCGCUGUGAUGUGUGUGGACCCAAGAAGGACAGGAAGUCACAGUACACAUGCAUCAACUGCAUGAAAUACAUUUGCAACAUACACACAGUAAAACUCUAUUCCUCAUGGGGUGUGUAGACCAGCCAUAAUUUGUGUUCAAUGAGGCUCAUUUAUCAUUUCCAUAAAAUACUGUAUGUAAAAUGUGUCUUUGCAAUUUGUUCAGUUCAAAGCAAUAAACAUCAAUAGCGACG
rnacentral:lncRNA from 1 species